GUUAUUUUUCGAUGUCGUGUCAUCAUCAUCCUUACGAUAUGGUUGAGGGGGGUGUUCCUGGAUGGGAGAGUUGUUGAUUUGGAGAGAACGGCUGUGACUGCUGCGGAAUAGGCUGAUGUUGUGAAGCUCCAAUGCUUUCACGUGGAGGAUAAGAGUAACUCUGAGAGGAGGUAGGAGUUUGAAUAGAAUGGACGGAUUGCGAGCGCUGCUGCGAGAAAUAUGAUUGCGGGGUCCCAGAGCUCAUAGCUUGAGGGGUAUAUGGGGAUGAUAGGGACCCUGCAGAUUGAUUGUAGGCAGAACCGGCGGAGCCCGGAGGGUAGUUGUCGCGGGAGACAGGUUGGUAGGUCUGGAUGGAAUGUGGUAAAAUGCUCGCGCUCUGAGAGUGUUGAGCGGCACUGCUCAACGCUGGCGUAUGUUGAUAUGGCGAAGCAGUGGAUCCAUAAGGUGAAGAGCCACCAGGAGAGCGUAGAGGUAGAGGGGGUUGGAGGGGGGGAGGUUGCGGUGGUUUUGCGCGGAAUUCGGGGCCCUGCGGAGCCUGCUGGGUUGUGUGGUAUGAGACUGGCGAAGCAUCAUCGUGCUUUUUCACAGGGUAGACGGA
rnacentral:sRNA from 1 species